GCCUUCAUGGUGUAGUGGUCAGCACGCUCGACGCGUAACCGAGAGGUCCGUGGUUCGAUUCCUGGCGAAGGCG
rnacentral:tRNA from 1 species